UAGCGGAGUGGUUAACGCGUCAGCCUGCUAAGCUGAUUCCUUCGGGAGCGUGUGUUCGAAUCACAC
rfam:Pseudocercospora fijiensis CIRAD86 unplaced genomic scaffold MYCFIscaffold_4, whole genome shotgun sequence.